rnacentral:lncRNA from 1 species
UCUCAGCUCAAGAUUUUCUCAGAACUGUCUGAGAAUUGUCUCAGCUGAGAAAUUUCUCAAGUUGGCUUUCACUAAACUUUUUCUCAAGUCUUGAGAUUUUUCUCAGCUGAGCCGUAAUUUUUUAAAACAUAAGCGGCCAAACAUCCAAGGAGCCGCGUGAACUUUCCCACAAACACGAGUGCAUAGUUGGGGGCAGUGGAAUUAUUCAUUUAUUGAGACGAAACGAAGCGUUGAGAAAUGUUCAUAAACAACAUGUACAGUUUCGGGAUAUAUCCAAAUUGUGUUUGUACAAAGGUCACAGCCUGCUGAUGAAGAUCCUCAGCUUAUUAUACAGAGGUCAGGCUUGAGCUAUGUGCUGAUUCAAAAGAUGCUAAUGACAGUGGAUAAUCCAUUCUGAGUUGUUCUAGGAUCAUUCACCAACGUUUCAAAACACUGAUGGAAUUGAAGGCAGUACAUAUACUGAUGUCUGGCCUGUGAUUUCAAGUAUAGACUAUAAUUGAUGUACCUCCUCCUGAUGUAUCUCCAUGAAAAAAUAUAUCUGCCAUGUGAAAGGAGCAAGCUGCAAGAUAUACUGUGGAAGUGGGGGCCUAUGUAAAAAACAUUUUAUUUAAAGAAUAUAAGAAAUCUGACACUAAACUACUGAAAAGGUGCACAGGGGACAUUUUAUUGUGUAUAGACUUUCAUCAAGAUUCUGAGAAAGUUGAUUUAUUAAACAGAAAUAGUCAUAUUGUGUCUUCAAAGCUGAAAAAGAUUAAGAUCUUAGGAAACAUUAGGACUCAAGAAAAGUAAUGGGGUAAUGAAACUGCAGUGUUCAACAUUUAAAUUGUUUUUUGUUUUUUUUUUCACUACAUUUUGUGAAGAGGGUUCCAUCACAAGAUGUGACAUAUUGGUAAGAAUGGGAUGUAGUUUAUGAAAAAAAGUAUUUUGCUUUAAAUGUGUAGACUUUAAGUUACAUAAAAAAUCAAAGCUGUAACAAUAAAGCUUGAUUUAAAAAAACUAGCCAACAUGUAAUUGUCACACUUUCUUGGGCGCACAGGGGACACAAUUAGCUAUAUAAUUUAAUAUAACUUUAACCAUUAGGCCCUUGCUAAAUUUCUAUAAUGGACUUGUCCAUUUUACAAUUUGGACAGUAUUAUUAAGUGUUAAAAAGGGUGCUAACCAAAAGAUUCUGACUGAAUGGCGCACAGUGCAGAUGAAGAUCAGACUGCACUAAUAUGCAGGCUGAUCAUGAUCUACACUUGUCGCAAAGGUAGGACCAACCAUGAACAGCAUGAUAAGGAUUAAAACUGCUUGAGCCAUUCAACUGAAAUUGCAAACAUUUGUUGACUACAUUGAUUGGAUAUAAUGUAACUUGCCCCAAAACACUUUAUAAAACUGAACUGAAUUAAAAUAAGGUGAGAGAAAAG